CCCUUAGAUGGUCUGGGCGGCACGCGCGCUACAAUGAUGCAUUGAAAAAGUCUUCUGACCUUAGAAGGUUGGGUAUUCUCCAAAGUGCAUCGUGAUGGGAAUAGUUUAUUGCAAUUUUUAAUCUUGAACGAGGAAUUCCUAUUAAGUACAGGUCAUCAACUUGUGUUGAUUACGUCCCUGCCCUUUGUACACACCGCCCGUCGCUCCUACUGAUUGAGUGUCUCGGUGAAUUCUUUGAUCUUCUGUCGAUUCGGUUCACUGAUCCGACGGUGGAAAGUUGAAUGAACUUCGUCACUUAGAGGAAGGAGAAGUCGUAACA
rnacentral:rRNA from 1 species